UACGAAGGGGGCUAGCGUUGUUCGGAAUCACUGGGCGUAAAGCGCACGCAGGCGGAUUGAUAAGUCAGGGGUGAAAUCCCGGGGCUCAACCUCGGAAUUGCCUUUGAUACUGUCUGUCUUCGAGUUCGGGAGAGGUUGGCGGAAUUCCUAGUGUAGAGGUGAAAUUCGUAGAUAUUAGGAAGAACACCAGUGGCGAAGGCGGCCAACUGGCCCGAUACUGACGCUCAUGUGCGAAAGCGUGGGGAGCAAACAGG
rnacentral:rRNA from 1 species